rnacentral:rRNA from 1 species
CCGGAGUGGACGCAUCACUGGUGUUCGGGUUGUCAUGCCAAUGGCACUGCCCGGUAGCUAAAUGCGGAAGAGAUAAGUGCUGAAAGCAUCUAAGCACGAAACUUGCCCCGAGAUGAGUUCUCCCUGACUCCUUGAGAGUCCUGAAGGAACGUUGAAGACGACGACGUUGAUAGGCCGGGUGUGUAAGCGCAGCGAUGCGUUGAGCUAACCGGUACUAAUGAACCGUGAGGCUUAACCUUACAACGCCGAAGCUGUU